rnacentral:rRNA from 1 species
CCCCAGUAAACGGCGGCCGUAACUAUAACGGUCCUAAGGUAGCGAAAUUCCUUGUCGGGUAAGUUCCGACCCGCACGAAAGGCGUAACGAUUUGGGCACUGUCUCAACGAGAGACUCGGUGAAAUCAUAGUACCGGUGAAGAUGCCGGUUACCCGCGACAGGACGGAAAGACCCCGUGGAGCUUUACUGUAGCCUGAUAUUGAAAUUCGGUACAGUUUGUACAGGAUAGGUAGGAGCCUUAGAAGCGUGAGCGCUAGCUUACGUGGAGGCAUUGGUGGGAUACUACCCUAAUUGUAUUGGAUUUCUAACCCGCAGCACUUAUCGUGCUGGGAGACAGUGUCAGGCGGGCAGUUUGACUGGGGCGGUCGCCUCCUAAAGAGUAACGGAGGCGCUCAAAGGUUCCCUCAGAAUGGUUGGAAAUCAUUCAUAGAGUGUAAAGGCAUAAGGGAGCUUGACUGCGAGACCUACAAGUCGAGCAGGGUCGAAAGACGGACUUAGUGAUCCGGUGGUUCCGCAUGGAAGGGCCAUCGCUCAACGGAUAAAAGCUACCCCGGGGAUAACAGGCUUAUCUCCCCCAAGAGUUCACAUCGACGGGGAGGUUUGGCACCUCGAUGUCGGCUCAUCGCAUCCUGGGGCUGUAGUCGGUCCCAAGGGUUGGGCUGUUCGCCCAUUAAAGCGGUACGCGAGCUGGGUUCAGAACGUCGUGAGACAGUUCGGUCCCUAUCCGUCGUGGGCGUAGGAAAUUUGAGAGGAGCUGUCCUUAGUACGAGAGGACCGGGAUGGACAUACCUCUGGUGUACCAGUUGUCGUGCCAACGGCAUAGCUGGGUAGCUAUGUAUGGACGGGAUAAGUGCUGAAAGCAUCUAAGCAUGAAGCCCCCCUCGAGAUGAGAUUUCCCAACUUCGGUUAUAAGAUCCCUCAAAGAUGAUGAGGUAAAUAGGUUCGAGGUGGAAGCGUAGCGAUACGUGGAGCUGACGAAUACUAAUCGAUCGAAGACUUAAUCAA